ACAAAAUGCGCCAUCUACUUCAUGUCAUCCCUUGGUUGCUUCUGCUGCUUAGUCUGGCGUCACCACGAAUAAAGUGCUAUUAUACUUGGGGUUACGACCCCGUUAUUAAGAGAUGCGUAGAGCCUUAUCCGUAUCUCAACUUGGGCAGAAUAGGUAAUUUGCCACCCACUAUACUUAUAAAACCUAACUGCGCUGAUGGUCACGUCUGGCAGCAGGAACUAAUGACCUGUGUGAAAUGUCCGGAAACGGGCUGUAACCAUCGUGUGAAUAAACCACAACUUGUCUUCGAAAAAAAUUGCCCUGAUAUGCAGUAUCUGGACUUGGCGACCAACAAAUGUGUAAAAAUAGUACCACGUGUUAGUACCCAUAAAGGUUGAUCAAAGUAUGGCUGU